CUAUUAUCAGUCACCCUAGGUGUACAGAAUGGAUAAAAUAACUUUUUCCUCUGACAUCAUCAUCUUCUUUUUCACUUUUGCAUUAAUUGAAGGGAGGUGUUUUCUGAUUCUGCCAGGACCAAGUCAAAACCAGGAUUUGAAAACUCAAGAGAGAUAACGGGCCAGUCAUUUGAGUUAGUUCCUUAUUCAACAGGACAAGAGAAGUCGCUUGAUAUAAAAGAACAUACCUGUGACAUCUCAAGGAUAGAGAACACAAGAGCAUGCAAUGCAGGUCUGCCAUUUUCUUGUCAUGAAGUCAACAGUCCCAUUCUGGUACCCCACCUUGAUGACCUC
rnacentral:lncRNA from 1 species